AACAACUUUGCUCCUGCAAGAGUGAAAUGCACGUGCUUUGGGACAGUGAAGACAAUAAUGUACACAAAGUCCAUACACUUUUACCCAUUAGGAGAGUUG
rnacentral:pre_miRNA from 8 species